rnacentral:rRNA from 1 species
GGUUAAGCGACUAAGCGUACACGGUGGAUGCCCUGGCAGUCAGAGGCGAUGAAGGGCGUGCUAAUCUGCGAUAAGCGCCGGUAAGGUGAUAUGAACCGUUAUAACCGGCGAUACCCGAAUGGGGAAACCCAGUGUGACUCGUCACACUAUCAUUAACUGAAUCCAUAGGUUAAUGAGGCGAACCGGGGGAACUGAAACAUCUAAGUACCCCGAGGAAAAGAAAUCAACCGAGAUUCCCCCAGUAGCGGCGAGCGAACGGGGAGGAGCCCAGAGCCUGAAUCAGCAUGUGUGUUAGUGGAAGCGUCUGGAAAGGCGCGCGAUACAGGGUGACAGCCCCGUACACAAAAGCGCAUGUGCUGUGAGCUCGAUGAGUAGGGCGGGACACGUGGUAUCCUGUCUGAAUAUGGGGGGACCAUCCUCCAAGGCUAAAUACUCCUGACUGACCGAUAGUGAACCAGUACCGUGAGGGAAAGGCGAAAAGAACCCCGGCGAGGGGAGUGAAAAAGAACCUGAAACCGUGUACGUACAAGCAGUGGGAGCACCCUUUGGGUGUGACUGCGUACCUUUUGUAUAAUGGGUCAGCGACUUAUAUUCUGUAGCAAGGUUAACCGAAUAGGGGAGCCGGAGGGAAACCGAGUCUUAAUUGGGCGUUAAGUUGCAGGGUAUAGACCCGAAACCCGGUGAUCUAGCCAUGGGCAGGUUGAAGGUUGGGUAACACUAACUGGAGGACCGAACCGACUAAUGUUGAAAAAUUAGCGGAUGACCUGUGGCUGGGGGUGAAAGGCCAAUCAAACCGGGAGAUAGCUGGUUCUCCCCGAAAGCUAUUUAGGUAGCGCCUCGUGAAUUCAUCUCCGGGGGUAGAGCACUGUUUCGGCUAGGGGGCCAUCCCGGCUUACCAACCCGAUGCAAACUGCGAAUACCGGAGAAUGUUAUCACGGGAGACACACGGCGGGUGCUAACGUCCGUCGUGAAGAGGGAAACAACCCAGACCGCCAGCUAAGGUCCCAAAGUCAUGGUUAAGUGGGAAACGAUGUGGGAAGGCCCAGACAGCCAGGAUGUUGGCUUAGAAGCAGCCAUCAUUUAAAGAAAGCGUAAUAGCUCACUGGUCGAGUCGGCCUGCGCGGAAGAUGUAACGGGGCUAAACCAUGCACCGAAGCUGCGGCAGCGACACUGUGUGUUGUUGGGUAGGGGAGCGUUCUGUAAGCCUGUGAAGGUGUGUCGUGAGGCAUGCUGGAGGUAUCAGAAGUGCGAAUGCUGACAUAAGUAACGAUAAAGCGGGUGAAAAGCCCGCUCGCCGGAAGACCAAGGGUUCCUGUCCAACGUUAAUCGGGGCAGGGUGAGUCGACCCCUAAGGCGAGGCCGAAAGGCGUAGUCGAUGGGAAACGGGUUAAUAUUCCCGUACUUGGUGUUACUGCGAAGGGGGGACGGAGAAGGCUAUGUUGGCCGGGCGACGGUUGUCCCGGUUUAAGUGUGUAGGUGUGUGUUCCAGGUAAAUCCGGUUCACUUUAACACUGAGGCGUGACGACGAGGCACUACGGUGCUGAAGCAACAAAUGCCCUGCUUCCAGGAAAAGCCUCUAAGCAUCAGGUAACAUCAAAUCGUACCCCAAACCGACACAGGUGGUCAGGUAGAGAAUACCAAGGCGCUUGAGAGAACUCGGGUGAAGGAACUAGGCAAAAUGGUGCCGUAACUUCGGGAGAAGGCACGCUGACACGUAGGUGAAGUGAUUUACUCAUGGAGCUGAAGUCAGUCGAAGAUACCAGCUGGCUGCAACUGUUUAUUAAAAACACAGCACUGUGCAAACACGAAAGUGGACGUAUACGGUGUGACGCCUGCCCGGUGCCGGAAGGUUAAUUGAUGGGGUCAGCGCAAGCGAAGCUCCUGAUCGAAGCCCCGGUAAACGGCGGCCGUAACUAUAACGGUCCUAAGGUAGCGAAAUUCCUUGUCGGGUAAGUUCCGACCUGCACGAAUGGCGUAAUGAUGGCCAGGCUGUCUCCACCCGAGACUCAGUGAAAUUGAACUCGCUGUGAAGAUGCAGUGUACCCGCGGCAAGACGGAAAGACCCCGUGAACCUUUACUAUAGCUUGACACUGAACAUUGAGCCUUGAUGUGUAGGAUAGGUGGGAGGCUUUGAAGUGUGGACGCCAGUCUGCAUGGAGCCGACCUUGAAAUACCACCCUUUAAUGUUUGAUGUUCUAACGUGGACCCGUUACCCGGGUUGCGGACAGUGUCUGGUGGGUAGUUUGACUGGGGCGGUCUCCUCCUAAAGAGUAACGGAGGAGCACGAAGGUUGGCUAAUCCUGGUCGGACAUCAGGAGGUUAGUGCAAUGGCAUAAGCCAGCUUGACUGCGAGCGUGACGGCGCGAGCAGGUGCGAAAGCAGGUCAUAGUGAUCCGGUGGUUCUGAAUGGAAGGGCCAUCGCUCAACGGAUAAAAGGUACUCCGGGGAUAACAGGCUGAUACCGCCCAAGAGUUCAUAUCGACGGCGGUGUUUGGCACCUCGAUGUCGGCUCAUCACAUCCUGGGGCUGAAGUAGGUCCCAAGGGUAUGGCUGUUCGCCAUUUAAAGUGGUACGCGAGCUGGGUUUAGAACGUCGUGAGACAGUUCGGUCCCUAUCUGCCGUGGGCGCUGGAGAACUGAGGGGGGCUGCUCCUAGUACGAGAGGACCGGAGUGGACGCAUCACUGGUGUUCGGGUUGUCAUGCCAAUGGCACUGCCCGGUAGCUAAAUGCGGAAGAGAUAAGUGCUGAAAGCAUCUAAGCACGAAACUUGCCCCGAGAUGAGUUCUCCCUGAGACUUUAGGUCUCCUGAAGGAACGUUGAAGACGACGACGUUGAUAGGCCGGGUGUGUAAGCGCAGCGAUGCGUUGAGCUAACCGGUACUAAUGAACCGUGAGGCUUAACCUU